UAGAGUGAGCACCCGGUACUGUGGAAACUGCUCACAACUGUAUAGGCGCACCGGGUGCAAGCCAGGAGGGACUCCCUUCAGCCUUCUUGCCUGCCUUCGUUCACGCGUUCAUUUAUUCAUCCCACCUUAUUCAGCACCUCGUGAGCCCCAAGGAGUUGAGAAAGCCCUCUGCGCCUCUGUAUCCAGACGUCCAAGGGUUAAGCAGGCGGCGCGGGCCCCUGCGUCCCCGCCCCGGCCACCCCGGCGUGGGGAAGGCGGGAAGGCUGCAGCGGGUGCCAAAGUCAGAACCUGCUGGUCGGCAGCUCCGGCGCUGCCUUGACUCGGGGCCAGGCCUGGCGCGGCCCCCGGCUGUGGAAUGUGUUAGCGCCAUGUGUCACCGCCCCAGACUGUGGGAAAACGCUGCUCUGCUCACCUCCCAGCAGCUGCCCCGCGCCCGCCCGGGCUGAGCCGGGAAAUGGGAGCCGCCUGCCGCCAAGGCCCCGGGGGCAUUGGAGCCUCUGCGAGGCCCACACCCACCGGCGCCCCGUCUGCUCCUGGGACCAGCGAGGAAUGGGGCAGCCCAUGGGGCCUCUCCUGCCCUUCAGAUUCCGGCAGAACGAUCUAGUCUCUUUCUGUUUAAUUAGUGUUCUGCCAGGGGCUGUGGAGACAGAGCCAAGAAUGGACACCAAGAAGCAAGUGUCUCAGUGAGAUACGUGUUCAACAAGGGCUGAGAAUAUUUAAACCCUUUCCAGAUGAAAUAUCCAUUCUGUUAUCAUUCUCCCUCGUCCAAGCCAAUACAAGUUCUCACCAUACUGAGCUGCCUCUACUUGCCUGCAGUGCUGGAGUGCAAAGAAGUUCUGAGAAAUGGUCAAGGACUUGGCCCUGCAGCCACAGAUGAAAUCACCUGUGGAUCCCAAAAGUUUUCAACAAUGAAGGCAGAAGAGGCCUUGGGAAGGCAGAGUGCUGCUUCCAUGAAUCUAGUGGGCCACAGAUGGACUGCCAGGGCUCUAUAAACUCUCUAAAUUGGAAAAGCCAAUGAAUGGUCUUUCUCGAACAUUCAGGAAUAGGAGUCCUUGUUCUCCCCAAGCUGAGCCCUUGAUAUUCCUGAGGUGGACUGAGAUGUUCCACCUUUAAAAUCGAAUAGUAGUGGCCUGUUCCCCAAUUCAGGUUGCUAAUAGCCUGGCAAGUCCACGGAGAGCCUGGAGCUCUCAAGAUCGGCUCUCAUGUGCAGACACUGAGACAAAGAGGCCAGGGGCUAUUUGCCAUCUCCUUCCUCACACUCUCUGGAAAUGCUUGUGAGCAGCAAACAACAUUUUAUGAUGUACUUUGCUGCAUUAACAAUUGAACAGAAUAAUUCUGUUACCUCUCAUAAACUAGAAAUAGUAGACAAUCUGGAUAAAAAGAAAGACAAUAAAAAUCAUUUAUAAAUUCAUCAUCUACAGAUGACAAUCUGGUGUUGUCCAUGCAGACUUUUUUCCUCAGUGUAUUUCGUAUUUCUGUGGCUAGGGGAGAUACAUACAUGCAUACAUACACGCACAUAAGCAUUUUGUC